AAUCAACGCUGGCGGCGCGCUUAACACAUGCAAGUCGAGCGAGAAAGGGAGCAAUCCCUGAGUACAGCGGCGUACGGGUGAGUAACACGUGGGUAAUCUGCCUUUUAGUGGGGAAUAACCCUGGGAAACCGGGGCUAAUACCGCAUAAUCCUGUGAAGGGAAAGCAGCAAUGCGCUGAAAGAGGAGCCCGCGGCCGAUUAGCUAGUUGGUGAGGUAACGGCUCACCAAGGCGGUGAUCGGUAGCCGGCCUGAGAGGGCACACGGCCACACUGGCACUGAAACACGGGCCAGACUCCUACGGGAGGCAGCAGUGGGGAAUCUUGCACAAUGGAGGCAACUCUGAUGCAGCGACGCCGCGUGAGCGAUGAAGCCCCUCGGGGUGUAAAGCUCUUUCGGCAGGGACGAUAAUGACGGUACCUGAAGAAGAAGCUGCGGCUAACUACGUGCCAGCAGCCGCGGUAAG
rnacentral:rRNA from 1 species